AUUCUGCGAAGCGUUCCACCAGUUUUAAAGAAAUAUAUUGAAUUGAGUCUGUUCUAAUCAUUGGAUAGCAAUAUCGCGGACAGUUUAAGUGAAUUCUAGUUGAAUCUCUCACAAUUUGCUAUUCUAUUGGAAAUUUCUGUUGCGUUUGAAACACGAAUUUGUUUUUGGUGCCAUUGUUUUAAAGUUGCUGGAGUUUUGUUUUAAUUAACGCAAAAUGUACAAGAAUAAAGGAAACACUAAGGGCUCGGAGAGCGGCAAGAGAUACGGUGGAGAUGAUAAACGCAGGGGUGAAAGGUCAGACCGACUUUCAGACAGACAAGUCGAAGAUAUAAGACGAACGUUUGAAUUAUUUGAUAAGAAUGGGGAUGGUUGUAUUGAUGCAUGGGAAAUAAAAGAUGUUGUACACAGUCUUGGUCAAUGCAUGUCAGAAGGAGAUAUAGAUUUACUGGUUAAAAACGUAGAUAAAGACGGCAAUGGUACAGUCGAGUUUGAAGAAUUCCUCCACCACUUUGCUCCAAGAUAUCGAACAAAAGAUCAAGUUGAAGCCGAAAUGAUGGAAGCUUUUAGAGCUUUUGAUAAAAAUGGGGACGGAUUUAUCAGUGCGCAUGAG